rnacentral:rRNA from 1 species
UGAAGCUGGAUUCGCUAGUAAUCGCGCAUCAGCCAUGGCGCGGUGAAUACGUUCCCGGGCCUUGUACACACCGCCCGUCAAGCCAUGGGAGCCGGGGGUGCUUGAAGUGCGUCGCCGCAAGGCGCGCCCUAGAGCAAAACCGGUGACUGGGGCUAAGUCGUAACAAGGUAUC